rnacentral:tRNA from 1 species
GGGGAUUUAGCUCAAUGGUAGAGCGCUUGCCUAGCAAGCACAAGGCCCUGGGUUCAGUCCCCAGCUCCG